UGGCGACCGGCGCACGGGUGAGUAACACGUAUCCAACCUGCCGAUGACUCGGGGAUAGCCUUUCGAAAGAAAGAUUAAUACCCGAUGGCAUAGUUCUUCCGCAUGGUAGAACUAUUAAAGAAUUUCGGUCAUCGAUGGGGAUGCGUUCCAUUAGCUUGUUGGCGGGGUAACGGGCCCACCAAGGCAUCGAUGGAUAGGGGUUCGUGAGAGGAAGGUCCCCCACCAUUGGAACUGAGACACGGUCCAAACUCCUACGGGAGGCAGCAG
rnacentral:rRNA from 1 species